rnacentral:ncRNA from 2 species
UACGUAGGUGGCAAGCGUUGUCCGGAAUUAUUGGGCGUAAAGCGCUCGCAGGCGGUUUCUUAAGUCUGAUGUGAAAGCCCACGGCUCAACCGUGGAGGGUCAUUGGAAACUGGGGAACUUGAGUGCAGAAGAGGAGAGUGGAAUUCCACGUGUAGCGGUGAAAUGCGUAGAGAUGUGGAGGAACACCAGUGGCGAAGGCGACUCUCUGGUCUGUAACUGACGCUGAGGAGCGAAAGCGUGGGGAGCGAACAGG